UACGUAGGUCCCGAGCGUUGUCCGGAUUUAUUGGGUUUAAAGGGUGCGUAGGCGGACUGUCAAGUCAGCGGUAAAAUUGAGAGGCUCAACCUCUUCCCGCCGUUGAAACUGGUGGUCUUGAGUGGAUGAGAAGUAUGCGGAAUGCGUGGUGUAGCGGUGAAAUGCAUAGAUAUCACGCAGAACUCCGAUUGCGAAGGCAGCAUACCGGCGCCCUACUGACGCUGAGGCACGAAAGCGUGGGUAUCGAACAGG
rnacentral:rRNA from 1 species